rnacentral:misc_RNA from 1 species
AAGUCGUAACAAGGUUUCCGUAGGUGAACCUGCGGAAGGAUCAUUAUUGAAUUGUUUGUUUGAAUUGGCUUAAAACCCCAAUUCGGCAUCCAUAUCCAUAACACCUGUGCACUGUUGGAUGACCUAAACUCUCACGAGUAUUGGAAGUCCACAUUUACACCAAACAAUUUGUAACAAAUGUAGUCUUAUUAUAACAAUAAUAAAA